rnacentral:rRNA from 1 species
GACGUAGGAUGCAAGCGUUGUCCGGAUUUAUUGGGCGUAAAGAGUUCGUAGGCGGUUAGUUAAGUCUGGUGUUAAAUCCCGUGGCCCAACCACGGAGCUGCAUCAGAUACUGGCUGACUUGAGUGCGGUAGAGGCGAGUGGAAUUCCCAGUGUAGCGGUGAAAUGCGUAGAUAUUGGGAAGAACACCAGUGGCGUAAGCG